rnacentral:rRNA from 1 species
CGGUUGAUCCUGCCGGAGGCCAUUGCUAUUGGGAUCCGAUUUAGCCAUGCUAGUUGUACGAGUUCAGACUCGUAGCGAAUAGCUCAGUAACACGUGGCCAAACUACCCUUCGGACCACGAUACCCUCGGGAAACUGAGGUUAAUAGUGGAUCACACACUCAUACUGGAAUGUCGAGUGUGUCAAACGCUCCGGCGCCGAAGGAUGUGGCUGCGGCCGAUUAGGUAGACGGUGGGGUAACGGCCCACCGUGCCAGUAAUCGGUACGGGUGAUGAGAGUCGGAGCCCGGAGACGGAAUCUGAGACAAGAUUCCGGGCCCUACGGGGCGCAGCAGGCGCGAAACCUUUACACUGCACGAAAGUGCGAUAGGGGAAUCCCAAGUGCGAGGGCAUAUUAGCCCUCGCUUUUGUUGACUCUAAGGCGGUCAACGAAUAAGAGCUGGGCAAGACCGGUGCCAACCGCCGCGGUAAUACCGGCAGCUCAAGUGAUGUCCCAUAUUAUUGGGCCUAAAGCGUCCGUAGCUGGCCGCGCAAGUCCGUCGGGAAAUCCACCUGCCCAACAGGUGGGCGUCCGGCGGAAACUGUGUGGCUUGGAACCGGAAGGCUCAGAGAGUACGUCCGGGGUAGGAGUGAAAUCCCGUAAUCCCGGACGGACUACCGAUGGCGAAAGCACUCUGAGAAGACGGCUUCGACAGUGAGGGACGAUAGCUCGGGUCUCAAACCGGAUUAGAUACCCGGGUAGUC